AUAUAAACACUUGUGUAAUAGUCAAAUGAUUUGAUUUGUACAUUCAAAUGAGUUUGAAAGCGUUCAGACUUUGUGUUUGAGUCAAGCAGUGUUUUCUCUUUGAUAGUCUUAAAGGGAUAGUCCACCCAAAAAUGAGCGUUCAGUCAUCAUUUACCCAUCAUAGAUCAAGCUAUACCCAAGUUGGCAAAAUUAACAUUUUCAUUUAGUGUAUAUGUGUGUGUGUGUGUGUGUGUGUGUGUGUGUGUGUGUGUGUGUGUGUGUGUGUGUUUGUGUGUGCAGUUAAGAACACUGCAAAAAAAAUAGUAACAAUGAAAUAAAUUAUAAAUAAUCAAAGAUUAUAAUUUUUAUUAUAACUCUUUCAAUCUUUCUACUCACACACAAUUAAAUGUUCACAUUUAAUUCAAGGUGUUACUUGCUGUUUCUGUGUAAUUAUUUCUAUGUAAAUGAUUUCUGAGUGAAAAUGGUUUCAAAAGCAUUUUUUCCCUUUGCUCUGUUAGGAGUUUGUGAGCCGUGAUCACUAGCUUUCAUGUGAAGGUCUGAAACAACAUGAGGGGUGGUAACCUAAGCUGUCCUGCAUUUGGCGUUUUAAUGUGUCCAUUCCUGUUCUUGAUUGCACUUGGAGGUCACCGGGAUCUAAAGUCACUGGAAGCAGUUAAAAUAAUAGGAGCUGACCACAUGUUGGAGGUUAUGAGAUGUGGCCCCCCGACAUACAGAGAAGCCGCUGAAAAACCCUCUGCUGCAACAUUGUUGUUGUGUCUCGCUGACCUGUUUGUUUAAAACUUACACAAAUAUUUGUAUAAACUGAUUUACAGCAAACAUUUGAUGCAAGUUAUUGCUGAUAUAUGAAUGCAAAUACGCAAAACCACAUAAACGAAGCUCUUUCUCCUUUUAUUUUUUAGAUGACUCAGCUUCUUUUUGUGUAAUGGUGAGUAAACAUGUGCAUGUAAAUAUAAAUCAAGAAUCGGUGCAUGUGAUUGUGUGUGUGAUGUGGGAGCGAAUGCACACUUCCUGUUUACCUUUCCUCAUUGACACUUUACCUUUCCAUCACUAGUGCAUUUACACAAAUAUACACACACUUCCACAUGACUUCAUUACAGGACAGACUGGGUUUGGGUCAUUUGUUUGAGUUGAGAGUCAGCGCAACUAUUUUUCAGAUUGCACCAUCUUCUCUAUAAAUUAUACUUCCACACAUGUGGUGGCCAUUUCCUGUUCAUUUAUUUCCCAUAGAGUACAUGUAAACAUACAUCAGUCACCAUAUAGACGUCCAAUAAAAUAAUACUGUUAAAAGGGUAAUAACUGAUUACAGUUAAUCUGGAUUAUGUAAUCAGAUUCCAAAAAAUUAAUUACUUGUAAUUAGAUUAUAUUACAUUUUAAAAUAAUCGUAAUCAGGCCACAGUUACUAUUUUAUUGAUUGCAUGAUUAUUCACAAAUUAACAACACGUUAUUAAUAAUUUAUUGAUUCUUCCUAAUUCUUCUUUUCAUUAUUUUAACUUUAUGUUUAGCUUACCUCUUAUAUACAAUCAAAAAGUGUUCCAUUUUAUUUAUUUUUUUGGACAUUCAGAUCAAAACAGUCACUAAUCAGGUGGCUAUAACCUAACCAUGUAGGUACAUGAAGAUGAGUUUUGUGGGGCAAAUAUCACUUUUACUUAUGUAUUUUUAUUUAAAACAAAGGCUUGAAUAAAAGUUGAUUAGAAACUCUUCUUCUCCCUCAGUAAAGCAGACGGCAUGUCGUUUCUCCAGCCCACCGGUAACCAUGAACGGCUGUGCACUGGAAACAAUUCAGAUUAAUGAUUAAUUGAACUCAUCUGAAACCGACCCGCCAACUCAGCAAACUGUUUUCCAUCUCUUUCCAAAUAUCAGUGGCCACUAGCGGGGCCGAUCAUGACAGGGACCCUCAGCGCACAUCUGCGGCCCACGGGUGUCUUCACAUGCAGACGCCAACACCUGUCCAAUCCCAGCAUCCCUCACUCAAGCUAAAGCACAUCCCAAAUGACUUCCGAUGAGUCUCUUGACUUGACUUGAACUACACAGCUGGUUUGCAAUAAUCACUUCAUCCAUCCUCGAACCGCUGACCGUUUAGCACACAUCCAAAAUGUAUAUUCCACAGAAGUUACGAAACCAGUUGUUCGCUCUGUGUUUGUGCUGAUCUUCUGAAUGGCCCGUGAUUGAACUGUGGGUGUGUGCCAGCUCCUUUCUUUCCUGGUCUUUCUGCUUUCUAAUUUUUAGUUACUGUUGAAUCCACUGAGCUUCAGAGAACACAAAGGGCUCCUGAACGCGGGCCAGCCCACCCCACAGAUGGUCGGGGGAUCAGAGGCUGUCAGCGCGCUCCAACAAGCCAAGCACGGGGCUCAGUCUCCACAGGAGCAUGGCGGGUCUGAAUGGGAGCAUUUCCACUCGCUUCUAUAGCCCCCCACCAUGCAUUUGUAAAAUGAUUUGUGGCAAAUUUGUUGGAUCAAUAUGGAUGCCAGAGGUGAGGCUAAAGCAGAUCUGGUUGUAGCUCGGCCGCGGUAAAGACAUCUGGAGAUCGGAGGUGAUGAUAUGUUGACCGUGACAGAAACGCGCUAAGCUGGACAAAACCUGAGGAAGAAAUGUAAUUAGUUGUGAUAGGCUUGGGACAGAGCGAUUGUGUUGGAGGUUACUUGCAUUGGCUAAGAGAGUUCAUGAACCUUUGGAAGCGUGAUGAUGGGGGAAAAAAAGGAAAAAGGGGCAGGUCAGGGUAGUUGGUUUGGCGACUUUCACAGUCUUUUUUUUUUUCUCCAAAUUUACGUCUUGCCCAUUCUCUUCUGCCAAAAAAAAAAGUACAAAUAAUAAUAAUAAUACUGAAAUAAUAAUGCUCACACACAUAUAUGUAUAUAUGUGUGUAUGAGAGCAAUAUUUAUAUUUAUUACUUAUAAUAAUUAAAUAUACAAAUAUAAAUAUAAAAUAAUACAUAUUUGUGUGUGUAUAUAUAUAUAUAUAUAUAUAUAUAUAUAUAUAUAUAUAUAUAUAUAUAAAAUCAAAUG
ensembl:lncRNA